rnacentral:lncRNA from 1 species
UCUGAUUGCAUCACACUUUUAGAGGAACUCAGGUGAUGUUUUUUCUUUCCACAGAUUUGACACUACAUCACACAAGCCAGCUGACCAUGUGAUAUUGAACCCAGCAGGGGAACUAACGUGCAAACAUCAUCGGCACAGCAGGAAAUGUGGUCAGGGACUGUCCCGGAUGUUGGUUGGAUGAGUCAGGAGGAAGUAGAGAUGAACUGUUGCGUACGGCUUGAACUGUGCGCUGGAAACUAUUGUCAUCAGGAGACAAAACAAGCUAUUUAAAACUUAACAUAUGAUCGGACUACACAAGAUAAAUCCAUCAUCUGUCGCCCGAAGGUCAACUCCUUCUUUUUUAGCUACAUGCUGUAUUUCCAUUACAACGUCUCU